AGAGUUUGAUCAUGGCUCAGGAUGAACGCUAGCGGCAGGCUUAAUACAUGCAAGUCGUGGGGCAGCAGCCCCGUAGCAAUACGGGGGCUGGCGACCGGCAAACGGGUGCGCAAUACGUACGCAACCUCCCUUCGAGCGGGGAAUAGCCCAGGGAAACUUGGAUUAAUACCCCAUAAUAUAAUGAAGAGGCAUCUUUUUAUUAUUAAAGCUCCGGCACUUGAAGAUGGGCGUACGGCUGAUUAGGUAGUUGGCGGGGUAACGGCCCACCAAGCCUGCGAUCAGUAGCUGAUGUGAGAGCAUGAUCAGCCACACGGGCACUGAGACACGGGCCCGACUCCUACGGGAGGCAGCAGUGGGGAAUAUUGGACAAUGGGCGGAAGCCUGAUCCAGCAACGCCGCGUGAGGGAUGACGGCCUUCGGGUUGUAAACCUCUUUCAGCACCGACGAAGCUCCACUUUUUGGUGGUUUGACGGUAGGUGCAGAAGAAGGACCGGCCAACUACGUGCCAGCCGCCGCGGUAAUAC
rnacentral:rRNA from 1 species